UACGUAGGGUGCAAGCGUUAAUCGGAAUUACUGGGCGUAAAGCGUGCGCAGGCGGUUUUGUAAGUCUGACGUGAAAUCCCCGGGCUCAACCUGGGAAUUGCGUUGGAGACUGCAAGGCUAGAAUCUGGCAGAGGGGGGUAGAAUUCCACGUGUAGCAGUGAAAUGCGUAGAGAUGUGGAGGAACACCGAUGGCGAAGGCAGCCCCCUGGGUCAAGAUUGACGCUCAUGCACGAAAGCGUGGGGAGCAA
rnacentral:rRNA from 1 species